rnacentral:rRNA from 1 species
AGACUAGAAUGAAUGGAUAUAUUGGGGCAAUGCUUUCUUAGAUUAAUAAUUAAAAUUAAAUUUUUUAGUGAAGAAGCUAAAAUUGUGAUAAGGGACGAGAAGACCCUAUUAAGCUUUAUGUAAUCAUUUUGUUGGGGAAACAGAAGGAUAAAAUUCCUUUAUUUUAAAUUGGUUGAUAAAUGUUGAUUUUUUUUAUAAAAAUAAUAGAACAAGUUACUAUAGGGAUAACAGCAUAAUUUUUUUUAAAAGUUCAUAUUGACAAAAAAGAUUAUGACCUCGAUGUUGGAUUAAAAUUAUUAUAUGAUGUAGUUGUUGUAUAAAUUAGUCUGUUCGACUAUUAAAUUUUUAC